rnacentral:misc_RNA from 1 species
GAUGAAGAACGUAGCGAAAUGCGAUAAGUAAUGCGAAUUGCAGAAUUCAGUGAAUCAUCGAAUCUUUGAACGCACAUUGCGCCCCUUGGUAUUCCGAGGGGCAUGCCUGUUCGAGCGUCAUUAUAACCCCUCAAGCUCAGCUUGGUGUUGGGGCCUGCCGCACGGGCAGCCCUUAAAAUCAGUGGCGGUGCCAUCUGGCUCUAAGCGUAGUAAUUCUUCUCGCUAUAGAGUCCCGGUGGAUGCUUGCCAUUAACCCCCAAUUUUCUAUGGUUGACCUCGGAUCAGGUAGGGAUACCCGCUGAACUUAAGCAUAUCAAUAAGCGGAGGA